UUGUUUUUAUUAUAAGUUCAUUGCUAGGUAUUGUUUUGAAGUCCAACAAUGUUAAACUAUAAUGUAGCAGUGUAGUCAUUGAACUACAACAUAGUAGGGUCAGCAUGUGAUGUGAUCCUUGCGGGGGGUGAUUCAGCACUAGCUGCUAGUGACUGGAUGGGUUUCGUCAAAGUCUAAUGUUCCUUAGAGAUAUUCUUACCUUAUCAAGAGAUCUAGAUCCUUGAGUGUGGGCGAGGGAUAUUUCCUCCCUAUGGAGGCUUGAAGCUAGAUGAUCUAAAGCUAAUUUGUUUGCAACGGAUGAGUGGAGUGGUUGUGGUUAUAUGUAAUGGUUUGUUCUUUUAUGUGCUUCUACUAUAUUUUCUUGAAACUUCCUGUUCUUUUCAAUGAUAAAUACCUGGCUGAUCCUGGGUGAAAAAGGUCAGAAACCAUGAAGUGAAGUUCUUGAAUUAUUUUGGUAUCAAUGCUGGAUUGUCUUGGAUGAUCUCGGUCGACUUAAGACCAUGGCUAGUUCUAUGGUUUCUUUCUAAUAUACUUAAUAUUUUGACCAUAGUUUUCAAGGCAUUGAGGCUCUUUCUCAGCUCCAAGGCAACAACACGUCCCGUUGGCACUUCACAAGUUUAUGUUGAUUUAUGUUUGUUGUUUUGUUUUUUUUAUUAUACUUAUAUCUUAUCCUAUGCUUUGUUUAUUUUAUUUUUUUCUUCUUCUUGUAUUAGGUCAUUACUAGCAUAAUUAUAUCAAAUUGCAUUAUGCAUAAUUAUAUAAAAUUAUCAUUGCUAUAUUACAUAUAGUCAUAUACUACAUGCUUAGACAGGUGCCUUGUCGCCUAGGCACCCCUCCAACGCCUUAGGUCGCCUAGUCGCCUUGACAAAUAUGAUUUUAACAUUUUUUAAGGCCAGUGGUAAUCCAUAAUAAUUCUGUUUUAUUAUAAAUAAUGUUGUUCUCACAUAUGAGGCGCUAAACUUAGAUAGUAUAAGCUGGUUUAUUGCUUUGUAUUUCUUCAUAAAGAAGCUUCUGCUCUAUUUUUUUUUUUGGGAUGGAAUGUAAUUGCUAGUCAAUUUGGCCUGUUUCAUGCUUUAUUAUCUCUUUUCAGAAUUUUUAUGGUCAAUUUUAUUUUCGUUGCACACCCUUCAAUCUUUUGAACUAUUUACUCUUUAAGGCUUUAAGCUAUGUGAGCUCCCAAUCAAAAGUGUUCAAAGAUACCAAAAUAUGUAAUAUCCCUACUGCAGGUAUCCAACCCCAAGUAAGGAUCAACAAACAACUCCUAUAACACUACUGUAGGUACAGAUAUCAAAAUAUGUAAUAGCCCUCAAAACAAUAACAAAAUAACUUCCUAAUAAUCACAAUAUCAAUAACUAACAGUGGCCGAUAUCCUAGCUUAAGAAACACAACUGAAAUGGACUAAAACAACUAAUCGGUUAGGGCCAGAUUAGGUUAAAACUCAGAAAAUUAUGUCAUAAACAAAACCUCUGAAAAAAAGCUCUAUUAGGUUCAAUAUUACUAUCGAAUGGAGGGAUAUAUGGAGAUCUAAAACAUAAAGAACAACUUGAGUUGAUGGAUGGAUCAGGAGAUAGGACAACUCUAGAUUUAGGGUAGAGUUUGAGAGAGUAUUGAUUUCUUAGCAACUACGCCUCAGAUGGCCCUAUUUUAAUGUGGAAGUAGGUUACAAGGUAACUACCCCCAUUGUAUUACAACUCCAACAAAACAAAUAAGACUCACUAACUAGCUUGACAAUAAUCAGAAAUAAACCCAGGAGAACAAUAGGGAAAUAACCACCAAAUAUCCCUAAAGGACUCAAGACUGAAGCAACAACAAAACCCAAACUGAUAGGAGAGAGAAGAACCUGCAAUAGGGCUGGAGAGAGAGCUGCAGCUGUAGCUGUGUAGCUCAGAGCUGCAACUGGGGUCGAUUGUAGGCCCCAGCAAGGAUACAAAGACCCCAAAGUUGAAGGUCUUCUGAUGGAUGGUUUGCUAGAUAUGUACUUUCUUGAUUUCAGCCCUAAGUGAGAGAAAACUGAGGGAAUCUUCAAGAUCUGUAGUAGGGCUGCUUGGGCAGCAAGAAGGAGAGGAUAGAUUGGGUGGCUGUGAACACUCUCUAAAAAGGACUUAUAGAUCAGAGGUUAAUUGGGGAAGGAAGAGGAGAUCGAUCUCUCUCCUAAUUCCUCUAAGGGUGUUGGUCGAUUCUGUUUUGGGGGGAUCUGAACAGGUCUGAUUUUGUCACUAACAGUAAACAGUAACAGUAGGUAAUGACAGCAGCAGAAAAUGAGAGAAAA